AAACCAUGAUGGGGACACAUUCUAAGUAGAGAGUUGAUUUGCCAUGCAUCAUACAAACUUUCUCCAUUGUAUUGUGUAAACCUUGUUAUCUUGUCCCUAUAUUC
rfam:Triticum aestivum genome assembly, contig: Triticum_aestivum_CS42_TGACv1_scaffold_328108_4BS